GCAUCACUUGGGGAAGAAAGAAUUUCGGUCAAGGAUGAGCUCGCGGCCUAUCAGCUAGUUGGUGAGGUAAUGGCUCACCAAGGCGACGACGGGUAGCCGGCCUGAGAGGGUGACCGGCCACACUGGAACUGAGACACGGUCCAGACUCCUACGGGAGGCAGCAGUGGGGAAUAUUGCACAAUGGGCGAAAGCCUGAUGCAGCAACGCCGCGUGAGGGACGAAGGCCUUCGGGUUGUAAACCUCUUUUAGCAGGGAAGAAGCGAAAGUGACGGUACCUGCAGAAAAAGCACCGGCUAACUACGUGCCAGCAGCCGCGGUAAUACGUAGGGUGCAAGCGUUGUCCGGAAUUAUUGGGCGUAAAGAGCUCGUAGGCGGUUUGUCACGUCUGCUGUGAAAUUCUGAGGCUCAACCUCGGAACUUGCAGUGGGUACGGGCAGGCUAGAGU
rnacentral:rRNA from 1 species